AAUUAAUACAAAUUUCUUACAAAUAUAUGAGUUCCAAUUACAUAUAUAUAACUGAGGCCAGAAGUGGCUGAAAAAUAUAAUGUCAAAAUACAAAAGAUGGUCACUUCUUUCAAUAUGCUAUUAGACUCAUCAAAGUGCGGGAACGAUCAUGCACUCAAGUUUUGCGGAUCCAUGGGAUCCACAUAAACUUCAAUGGGUAGGUCAACUGGUAGUUCUUCAUUCUCUUCCUCAUCCACCGGAGGGGGG
rnacentral:lncRNA from 1 species